rnacentral:tRNA from 1 species
AGGGUUGAUCUCUUCUCUUGCAAGGAAGAAUUGCUCUUUAGAGCCUACCUUAA